rnacentral:rRNA from 1 species
CAACAAUCCUUCGGGUGCGUUGAUGGGCGGCGAGCGGCGGACGGGUGAGUAAUGCCUGGGAACUUGCCUCUAGGCGGGGGACAACCACUGGAAACGGUGGCUAAUACCGCAUAAUGUCUACGGACCAAAGUGGGGGACCUUCGGGCCUCACACCUAGAGAUGGGCCCAAGUGGGAUUAGCUAGUUGGUGAGGUAAUGGCUCACCAAGGCGACGAUCCCUAGCUGUUCUGAGAGGAUGAUCAGCCACACUGGGACUGAGACACGGCCCAGACUUCUACGGGAGGCAGCAGUGGGGAAUAUUGGACAAUGGGGGCAACCCUGAUCCAGCCAUGCCGCGUGAGUGAUGAAGGCCUUAGGGUUGUAAAGCACUUUCAGCAGGGAGGAAGGCUUACUGUUAAUACCGGUGAGUACUUGACGUUACCUGCAGAAGAAGCACCGGCUAAUUUCGUGCCAGCAGCCGCGGUAAUACGAAAGGUGCGAGCGUUAAUCGGAAUUACUGGGCGUAAAGCGCGCGUAGGCGGUUUGUUAAGUCAGAUGUGAAAGCCCCGGGCUCAACCUGGGAACUGCAUUUGAAACUGGCAGGCUAGAGUGCAGUAGAGGGAGGUGGAAUUUCCGGUGUAGCGGUGAAAUGCGUAGAGAUCGGAAGGAACACCAGUGGCGAAGGCGGCCUCCUGGACUGACACUGACGCUGAGGUGCGAAAGCGUGGGGAGCAAACAGGAUUAGAUACCCU